GGGGUAAUGGUAAAGCCCAACAGGCUGAGGACCAGUGCCCCAUAUACUGUGCGUGCCCUAGAAUCUUCUUCACAACUCUGCAACAAAACCACAGACCAACAUCCUAAUCUAAAGCAAAAUUGCAGACUUGAGGGAGAAUAGUUACACCUUAGGAAAUGCUUCCUGCAUCUAUAUUGUAUUUAUACUACAACAUAAAUACCAAUCAGUGGGGCCAUGGCAUUAUAGAAAAGGAGAAGGAGCAGAAGAGGGGUUGUCUGCUUGUGACGCUGAAAUAAAUAACUCUUGUGAUAUCGCUGACAUAGGUCAAAGAGAUGAUUGCCUAACAAAACCAGUCUCCAAGGUGCCAUAGUGUCUUUUAUCUUCUGUCUUGAUCCUAUAAUUCCCCCAAUUUACUCCUGGCAGCCUAUGGGGACUUACCGUACUUGGAUGAUUGCAAAACCAUUCCUAAUUAUAAGGCAAAACUGAGCUAGCGCUGGUUUGGAAGCGAUUAGGACAGUCUGGGCAUGAGAGGAUAUUGAGUAAUGGAGAUAUUUCUGCCUUUUGAUCCAAAAUAAGUAGCUAAAAAGAUACUUAUUUUGAUCCUGCUUUGUUUUAAAUCUUAAUAACUGUGCAGCACUUACUUUAAUUAUUGAUUUAUCAUACCCAUAAUUGUUGAACUAGAUGGGAGGGUGGUAGAUGAACAAUGGUAUGGUAGCUGCUAGCCAGUGCCACCCAAACAGAAAGAGUUGAAGGGUAUUUUUGAGCCUGAGUUUUUUAAGUUAAUAUGGAGAAAAGACAGAUUAUGGCAUAAUCCUGUUUCUGGAGAUAGAACUAGUAUGAGCCAGAGGGCAGACUAUAUUUUUUGUGGAUCCUACAACAAUAAAUUUAAGUUACUUGGUUUUAACAUGCUUUGGGAUGCCUAAUUAUGUACAGAACCAGGCUACAGUUUGUGUAGCUGAUUUUUUUAGCCUUAGUUUCCAUAGUAGAAAUCAUAGUGGUCUAUCUUGUGUGACUGUUGUGAGGAGAAAAUCUAAAUAACUAAUAGCUACUUUCAACAGCUUUAGUUCUCAUGUUUUUACCCAUAUCUGACUUCAAAUUCUUAUUUAAUCUGUCCACAGUCAUUACUGCAGGAUGUUAAAAGCCUAUAAUUAAUUUGCAAGUGUCGAUUUGUUUACAUAUCUACAACUAUGAGUCCUGGACACUAAGAGCAACAACAAAAACCAACCAGUCAGAUAGCAGCUGGAAGUUUUAUGUGGGGCAAACUUCAGGUGAUGUCCACCUCUGCAACCUUCGUGCUACAAUUAACCCUUCUGUAAAGGGCUAUUUCAGAGGGGACUUGGCACCCAAGAUUCUCUGUUCUGUACACCGCGAUGCCUAUGGUCUACCUCCACAGCUGGAGGCAGUAUGCCUAUGAAAGUCAGUUGUUAUGGGGAAAGCGCUGUUGUACUGAGGUCCUUCUUGCGGGUUUCCCAUGAGUAUAUGGUUGGCCACUGAGAACACAAUGCUAAGCCGUAAGUUUGAUCCAGCAAGCUGUUCUUACACCAUAUGGAUAUAUGAUUAUACAUUAUAAAAAUCUGAAUGAAUUAUAAAUUUAGUGUGACAUUCUAAGGCAUCACAAAACUGAGCAGGUGAAAGGAUUUAUGGAUCUAGUUGUAAAAUAAGUCCCUCUACAUCAAAUUUUAAGCUGAACAUUGCCCUGUUUUUUGGUUUUGCUCUUCUCCUUGCCUUCUGGGUACUCCUCCCACCCUUGGUUCAGUGCUCCCAGUUUUGGCAAUUCUUGUGACCUGUGAUAUUUGCCAGAGCUUCUUGCUUCUCUGCUUAACUUCAAGUUUCCCUGAUGAUUAAACUGACAACUGUUUUAACCCCAGCAAAAGAUGUGCUCCCAAGCUAGUCUGCUUCUGAAUACAGUCAAAUUAACCACUUUCUGGACUCUGGUGCUCGGUAGCCAUCCAGUCCAAAGGUUUGGAAGCAAGUAUGGUGCCACAACCAGUUCUGAUGUGUUAGUUGUACUAUACAAUUGGCCAAUGACAGAUUCCAAACCACCACUGUCUCCCAUGGAUUGCCAAGACUUUACCAGAAUAGCUCCUCUUUGGUUUUCUUCUCAGGGUUGAAAAAUGCAAGAUAAAAAAAUGCACAUACUGUACAGGUGAAAGAAACCAGAACUGAUAUGCCUCAGCCAUCUCCUAAAUUCCACCAUACAACUCAAAUAAUGUUACAGCUGGAUGCCUAUUGUCUCUGUUGGGUUUUUUUGUUUUGUUUUACAUAUUGAAGAACUUCCAUUUUCAACAAGCCUUUUGAGUCUGUACCUGUAUUGGAUUUCAAACUGUUUUAUUGUUAAUCGCUUCAGGAUGUUUCAUGGGAAGCAACAAACAAAAAGGCAGACAGUCAUUUCAGGGAGUUUUUGUACAUGAUGCCCAUGUUGUAAUGGAAUCAAAGUGGAGCUGUCUUCUGCCCACUCUUCCCUUAAACAUGUGGGCUCAGAUAAUUUUUCAUCUGGGCAUUUCUGUCAGUACUUAUUUUAUAUGGCUAACAUUUGCUUUACUGCCUUCUAGAUAUAUCCUUUCUGAAAAGUUCCGGUGGAUGAAUGGAAGCUGCUGAAUGGAAUUAGUCAGCCAUCCACCUUCAGAGAUGGCUGAUCUAAGCAAGAGCAAGCUAAGAAUAGUGCCUCUCAUGACUGGUGGUAUUUUUCUACUCCCCAUUACAUUCACUAACCUUGCACAGUAAUCUCAUCUGCAUCAGGACUUCUAGGAGUGCAGCUGUGCUGGUCUUCAACACCCUUGCCGGCAGCAGAAAGCAUAAAAGAGGCCUGAAGAGCUUCUUUAAAGCCAACCCUGCGUACAACAUUAUGUAAGUAAACGAUCUUGUAGCAUGGGCGUUGGGUUCCUCCACGGCAAAUGGCAUGUCCUGAGGAAGACCAAAAGGAAAAAGAAAAACCAUUAGCAAACCAGCAGGAAAAGUGCAGAGUCAAGUGUUCUCUUUUACGAAGCCAACCAUGGAACAUGUAUUUCAGGACAGGAUGUUAUAAACCCCUACGAUGCAAAGUGGUGUUUCUAAAACACAUUUUGAGAGAGAUCCUUGUGUUUCUAUUCGUCCUUAAAUGUACAAAACAAAAGUCUACAGUACUCCAUUCCAAGGAUCUUAAUACAGCACAGUAAUUGGACUGCGUGGGAUUCCAAUGUCUUGACUGCAGAUGGCAUACAAGUUAAAAUGCUGAGCACAGCAAAAACAGUCUAGUCACCAUCGAUAAUCUGACCAACAUGCAUCUCUGAUGAAACACAAAAUAAAUUACCUCUCUGAAGAAUCAGAUCCGCAGCUGGGAGGCAAUGGGAAGAAGAGAAAAAGCACAUCACUUAUAAAAUUGGCAAUGACCAGGACUGCAGAAUAUCCAGCCCUUAAGAGUGGGCUGCUUUGAAGUGGCUAAAGUUUUUGCAACAACCUGGCAAUUUCCUGCAUUUUAUCAGCAAAAUUUGAAGUUAUUUUUAGCCAAGGCAGGAAUGCAAUGCAGUUGAUUGCAGGCCGGGCACUGCUACAAGUCAACUUGUCCAACCAGUGAUCUCACUCUAUUGCAUACUAGAGAUGAGUCCAUGAAACUAAAGGUGCUUAGUUCUUAAGUAAGGUGUUGAUUUCAGUCUGAUUAGCCCUUAAUAAAUAUAGCUAAGAUCCUAACCAAUUUCUCUGCUGCAUCAAUAUGUUAGGCAUUUUUAGUGCAAAGAGGUAGAUGCAGAAGCCAAAGUUCAAAUUCCUCCUUAGAGCUGCUUCACUUCUUGCACAGCGACUAGAUCACACUG